rnacentral:rRNA from 1 species
CGGGGUGCCCAGGCGCGAAAACUUUACAAUGCUGGAAACAGCGAUAAGGGGACCUCGAGUGCCAGGUUACAAAUCUGGCUGUCGUGAUGCCUAAAAAGCAUUGCAUAGCAAGGGCCGGGCAAGACCGGUGCCAGCCGCCGCGGUAACACCGGCGGCUCGAGUGGUAACCGUUAUUAUUGGGUCUAAAGGGUCUGUAGCCGGCCGGAUAAGUCUCUUGGGUAAUCUGGCAGCUUAACUGUCAGGCUUUCAGGAGAUACUGUCUGGCUCGAGGCCGGGAGAGGUGAGAGGUACUUCAGGGGUAGGGGUGAAAUCUUGUAAUCCUUGAUGGACCACCAGUGGCGAAGGCGUCUCACCAGAACGGACCUGACGGCAAGGGACGAAAGCUAGGGGCACGAACCGGAUUAGAUACCCGGGUAGUCCUAGCCGUAAACGAUACUCGCUAGGUGUCGGCCACGGUGCGACCGUUGUCGGUGCCGUAGGGAAGCCGUGAAGCGAGCCACCUGGGAAGUACGGCCGCAAGGCUGAAACUUAAAGGAAUUGGCGGGGGAGCAC